AAGUCGUAACAAGGUUCCCUUCUGCAGCGCAGCUCCGGAGACCUUGCACCCCGAACGGGAGCCAGCACGACGAUAAACAAAGCUCGCCGCGUGCAAGUUGCCGUAUGGUCAGCAACACGAUCGAAUUGACGGGGACCUCCUAAAGCCUGCAACACCAACCGUCCGGGGAAACUCGGGCGGGGCCCUCACGGGGUGGUAAGAGAGUGCAGGAUGAACAAUGGACGAUCCGCAGCGAAGACCCUACCGGCGAGAGCCCACGGGUACCGUUCACAGACUAAGUGAUUGUGGGCGGGGCAUCAGGCCCCGUCUAAGAUAUAGUCGGUCUUUGUCCGAAAGGGCAGAGCCUAGCGCGUCCGUAGGUGAACCUGCGGAAGGAUCAUUAAAGAAUCGCCCCGUUUUUUGAAAUGGGUUCUAUUCCCAAACCGUGUAUACAUACCUUUGUUGCUUGGCAGGCCGUCUUUUAGGCGUCGGCUCCGGCUGACUGCGCUUGCCAGAGGACCCAAACUCGUUUGUUUAGUGAUGUCUGAGUACUAUAUAAUAGUUAAAACUUUCAACAACGGAUCUCUUGGUUCUGGCAUCGAUGAAGAACGCAGCGAAAUGCGAUAAGUAAUGUGAAUUGCAGAAUUCAGUGAAUCAUCGAAUCUUUGAACGCACAUUGCGCCCCUUGGUAUUCCGAGGGGCAUGCCUGUUCGAGCGUCAUUAUAACCACUCAAGCCUCGGCUUGGUCUUGGGGUUCGCGGUAUCGCGGCCCUUAAAAUCAGUGGCGGUGCCGUCUGGCUCUAAGCGUAGUAAUUCUCUCGCUAUAGGGUCCCGGCGGUUACCUGCCAGAACCCCCCCAUUUUUUACGGUUGACCUCGGAUCAGGUAGGGAUACCCGCUGAACUUAA
rnacentral:rRNA from 1 species